rnacentral:rRNA from 1 species
GACGGGGGAUGCAAGCGUUAUCCGGAAUCACUGGGCGUAAAGCGUCUGUCGGUGGUGAUGCAAGUCACUGGUGCAAAACUCUGGCUCAACCGGAGGAAAGCCAGUGAAACUGCAUGGCUAGAGUGUGGGAGAGGUAGAAGGAAUUCCCUGAGUAGCGGUGAAAUGCGUAGAUACAGGGAAGAACACCGGAGGCGAAAGCGUUCUACUGGAACACAACUGACACUGAGAGGCGAAAGCUAGGGGAGCGUAUGGG